rnacentral:rRNA from 1 species
UGGCGACCGGCGCACGGGUGCGUAACGCGUAUGCAACCUACCUGUAACAGGGGGAUAACACGGUGAGAAAUCGGUACUAAUACCGCAUAACACUAUGAGAGGCAUCUCUUGUGGUUGAAAGUUUCGGCGGUUACAGAUGGGCAUGCGUUGUAUUAGCUGGUUGGUAAGGUAACGGCUUACCAAGGCGACGAUACAUAGGGGGACUGAGAGGUUAACCCCCCACAUUGGCACUGAGACACGGACCAAACUCCUACGGAAGGCAGCAG